rnacentral:rRNA from 1 species
UGAUAUACGCUCGUCUCAAAGGUUAAGCCAUGCAUGUCUAAGUACAAGCUUCCUAGAAAGUGAAACCGCAUAAGGCUCAGUAUAACAGCUAUAAUUUACAAGAUCCUCAUCCAAACAGUUACUUGGAUAACUGUGGAAAAGCCAGAGCUAAUACAUGCAUUAUGCCGGGACUGUUGGCCUCCGGGUCGGCGGAACUGGUGCACUUAUUAGUUAAACCAAUCGCCUCCGGGCGCUUUGAGUUGAAAUCUGGAUAAGGAUGCCGAUCGUACGGUCGCUUGCGACUGACGACAGAUCUUUCAAAUGUCUGCCCUAUCAACUAUUGAUGGUAGUGUAGAGGACUACCAUGGUUGCGACGGGUAACGGGGAAUCAGGGUUCGAUUCCGGAGAGGGAGCCUGAGAAAUGGCUACCACAUCCAAGGAAGGCAGCAGGCGCGUAAAUUACCCAAUCCCGGCACGGGGAGGUAGUGACGAGAAAUAACAAUAUGGACCUCUCUAACGAUGGUCCAUAAUUGGAAUGAGUUGAGCAUAAAUCCUUUUGCAAGGAUCAAGUGGAGGGCAAGUCUGGUGCCAGCAGCCGCGGUAAUUCCAGCUCCCACUAGCCGUAUAUUA